UCACUGGGUGCAUGAAGAUUG
rnacentral:miRNA from 1 species